UAGAGUUUGAUCAUGGCUCAGGAUGAACGCUGGCGGUAUGCCUAACACAUGCAAGUCGUACGAGAGUUUUUAACUCUAGUGGCGGACGGGUGAGUAACACGUGAGAAUUUGCCUUUAGGAGGGGGAUAACAAUUGGAAACGAAUGCUAAUACCCCAUAUGCUUUCGAGUGAAAUGGAUUUAUAUUUAUCCGCCUAGAGAGAAGCUCGCGGCUGAUUAGCUUGUUGGUAAGGUAAGAGCUUACCAAGGCGACGAUCAGUAUCUGGUUUGAGAGGACGAUCAGACACACUGGAACUGAGACACGGUCCAGACUCCUACGGGAGGCAGCAGUGGGGAAUUUUCCGCAAUGGGCGAAAGCCUGACGGAGCAAUACCGCGUGAGGGAAGACUGCCUAUGGGUUGUAAACCUCUUUUUUCAGGGAGGAAUCAAUGACGUGUACCUGAAGAAUAAGCAUCGGCUAACUCCGUGCCAGCAGCCGCGGUAAGACGGAGGAUGCAAGUGUUAUCCGGAAUCACUGGGCGUAAAGCGUCUGUAGGUGGUUUAAUAAGUCAACUGUUAAAUCUUGAGGCUCAACUUCAAAAUCGCAGUCGAAACUAUUAGACUAGAGUAUAGUAGAGGUAAAGGGAAUUUCCAGUGGAGCGGUGAAAUGCGUAGAUAUUG
rnacentral:rRNA from 1 species